rnacentral:rRNA from 1 species
AGUGGACGCUGGCGGUAGGCCUAACACAUGCAAGUCGAACGGCAGCACAGUAAGAGCUUGCUCUUACGGGUGGCGAGUGGCGGACGGGAGAGGAAUACAUCGGAAUCUACUUUUUCGUGGGGGAUAACGUAGGGAAACUUACGCUAAUACCGCAUACGACCUACGGGUGAAAGCAGGGGAUCUUCGGACCUUGCGCGAUUGAAUGAGCCGAUGUCGGAUUAGCUAGUUGGCGGGGUAAAGGCCCACCAAGGCGACGAUCCGUAGCUGGUCUGAGAGGAUGAUCAGCCACACUGGAACUGAGACACGGUCCAGACUCCUACGGGAGGCAGCAGUGGGGAAUAUUGGACAAUGGGCGCAAGCCUGAUCCAGCCAUACCGCGUGGGUGAAGAAGGCCUUCGGGUUGUAAAGCCCUUUUGUUGGGAAAGAAAAGCAGCAGGUUAAUACCCCGCUGUUCUGACGGUACCCAAAGAAUAAGCACCGGCUAACUUCGUG